rnacentral:rRNA from 1 species
GACGAACGCUGGCGGCGUGCUUAACACAUGCAAGUCGAACGGUAAGGCCCUUCGGGGUACACGAGUGGCGAACGGGUGAGUAACACGUGGGUGAUCUGCCCUGCACUUCGGGAUAAGCCUGGGAAACUGGGUCUAAUACCGGAUAGGACCACUGCCUGCAUGGGUGGUGGUGGAAAGCUUUUGCGGUGUGGGAUGGGCCCGCGGCCUAUCAGCUUGUUGGUGGGGUGAUGGCCUACCAAGGCGACGACGGGUAGCCGGCCUGAGAGGGUGACCGGCCACAGUGGGACGUGGAUACGGCCCAGACUCCUACGGGAGGCAGCAGUGGGGAAUAUUGCACAAUGGGCGCAAGCCUGAUGCAGCGACGCCGCGUGAGGGAUGACGGCCUUCGGGUUGUAAACCUCCUUCAGCACCGACGAAGCGCAAGUGACGGUAGGUGCAGAAGAAGGACCGGCCAACUACGUGCCAGCCGCCGCAGUAA